rnacentral:rRNA from 1 species
CAUCUCUAGUAGCGGCGAGCGAAGCGGGAAGAGCUCAAAUUUAUAAUCUGGCACCUUCGGUGUCCGAGUUGUAAUCUCUAGAAGUGUUUUCCGCGUUGGACCGCACACAAGUCUGUUGGAAUACAGCGGCAUAGUGGUGAAACCCCCGUAUAUGGUGCGGACGCCCAGCGCUUUGUGAUACACUUUCAAUGAGUCGAGUUGUUUGGGAAUGCAGCUCAAAUUGGGUGGUAAAUUCCAUCUAAAGCUAAAUAUUGGCGAGAGACCGAUAGCGAACAAGUACCGUGAGGGAAAGAUGAAAAGCACUUUGGAAAGAGAGUUAACAGUACGUGAAAUUGUUGGAAGGGAAACGCUUGAAGUCAGACUUGCUUGCCGGAGCUUGCUUCGGUUUGCAGGCCAGCAUCAGUUUUCCGGGGUGGAUAAUGACGGUUUGAAGGUAGCAGUCUCGGCUGUGUUAUAGCUUUCCGUUGGAUACAUCCUGGGGGACUGAGGAACGCAGCGUGCUUUUUGCGAAAGACUCGUCUUUUUCACGCUUAGGAUGCUGGUGGAAUGGCUUUAAACGACCCGUCUUGAAACACGGACCA